rnacentral:rRNA from 1 species
UAUAAAUUUUAUUUAUUAAUUUUAUUUAUUUAUUUAAUUUAUUUAAUAAAAAUAAUUUUAAAAUUUUAAGUUUUAGUAUUUUAUAAAGAAAAAAUAAUUUUAAUUAUAAUUAAUUUGUAUUGUAAAAGAAAAUUGAAAUAAUUUGAAAAAUUAUUAUUUUAAAAGAAAAUUUAAUUUAUUGUACCUUGUGUAUCAGGGUUUAUUAAAUAAUAAAUUAUUAUAUUAAUUUUUCUCGAAUUUUAAAGAUUUAAUUAUAUAUAAAAGUUACUGUUGAAUAAUUAUUUUAAAUAUAUAAUUAGAAAUGAAAUGUUAAUCGUUUUAAAAUAUAUCUAGUUUUUUAAGAAAUAAAUUUAAUUUAGAUUUAUAAAUUUGAAUUAUUUAAUUUAUCAAAUAAUUUAAUUUAUAAAAUUAAUAUUUUAAGGGAUUAGCUUUAAAAUAAAUUUUUAAAUUUUAAAUUAAUUAUUUAAUAAAUAUAAGCUUAAAAAUAGCUAUUAUUAAUAAAUUUGUUAUAAUUUAUUUUAAAAAUUUGAUUAUUUAUUAUAAAAUUAAAUUAUUUAUUAAAAUAUAAAUUUUAAUUAUAUAAAUUUAUUAAUUAUGAUAAAAUUAGUAUAUAAAAUUUUUAUAAAUAAUUAUUUAUGAAAGGUUUAAAUAAGGAAUUCGGCAAAAUAUAUAUUCACCUGUUUAUCAAAAACAUGUCUUUUUGAAUUUAAUUUAAAGUCUAACCUGCCCACUGAUAAUAAUUAAAGGGCCGCAGUAUUUUGACUGUGCGAAGGUAGCAUAAUCAUUAGUCUUUUAAUUGGAGGCUUGUAUGAAUGGUUGAAUGAGAUAUAUACUGUCUUUUUUAAAAUUAUAUAGAAUUUUAUUUUUUAAUUAAAAAGUUAAAAUAAAAUUAAAGGACGAGAAGACCCUAUAGAUCUUUAUUUUUGUUAUUUAUAAAUUAAAAAGAAUUUUAAAAUUUAUAUUUUAAUUAAAAAUUUUAUUGGGGUGAUAUUAAAAUUUAAAAAACUUUUAAAAAUUUUUUAACAUAAAUAUAUGAAUAAAUGAUCCAGUUUUAUUGAUUAAAAAUUUAAGUUACCUUAGGGAUAACAGCGUAAUUUUUUUUUAGAGUUCAUAUCGACAAAAAAGAUUGCGACCUCGAUGUUGGAUUAAGAGUUAUUUUUAGGUGUAGAAGUUUAAAGUUUAGGUCUGUUCGACCUUUGAAUUCUUACAUGAUCUGAGUUCAAACCGGCGUAAGCCAGGUUGGUUUCUAUCCUUAAUAAAUUAUUAUAUUAUAGUACGAAAGGACCUAAUAUAAAAAAUAUCAAUUUUAAUAAUAUGAUUUAUAUUAAUAUUUAAUA